ACAGAGGUCCCAAGCGUUGUUCGGAUUUACUGGGCGUAAAGGGUGCGUAGGCGGCCAAAAAAGUCUGAUGUGAAAUCUUGGAGCUCAACUCCGAAACUGCAUUGGAUACUGGUUGGCUUGAGGAGUGGAGGGGAGACUGGAAUUCUCGGUGUAGCAGUGAAAUGCGUAGAUAUCGAGAGGAACACCAGUGGCGAAGGCGAGUCUCUAGACAUUUCCUGAUGCUGAGGCACGAAAGCCAAGGGAGCAAACGGGAUUAGAUACCCCGGUAGUCUUGGCUGUAAACGGUGCGCAUUUGCUGUGAGCGGAAUCGACCCCGCUUGUGGCGAAGCUAACGCGAUAAAUGCGCCGCCUGGGGAGUACGGUCGCAAGAUUA
rnacentral:rRNA from 1 species